AUCCAGUUGACGAGCCCCAAAUAGGACGAAACGCGCAUCCUGGAU
rnacentral:hammerhead_ribozyme from 1 species